CUUAAUCAAACAUAACCAAUGUUUCCUCCCUAUAUUUUCAAGCCCCACCCCCAAGUUCCCACCCCACUCCCCAAAUUCCCACCUACCCUCUCAAAUGUCUGACCUGGAAUUGGACUGGAUCAGCCACGCUCCUGGGCCUCUGCACCUGCUUCCCAUGAUCUUCAGUGCUUCUCCAGGAAAUUCCCCUCCCUCUUGGCCCAGACCCCUUGUGCUCUCUGGGUGCUGCAUGGUCAGAGCCUCUGAGCAACAUCAUAUUCUGAUGCUGAAAGCCCUGACACACAGUACCUGCAACAAUAGUGGCCAAAGGCCUUGUGUGAUGGCAUAACCCAGCUCCUACUGAGCAGGGCUCAGUCUGACGUAAGCCUAUCUUGGCAGCAAACGUGGGAAGCAUUUCACUGAGAACAGGAUUGGUCUUCAAGGGUAGAAGGCAGGGAGCACUCUGGAAGAGAACCAUCAAGAUAGAAUUCUUCAUGUGAGGUGCCACAGAAGAGAUGGGGAGGAAUGGCCCAUGGCAGAAAGCCUGCAGAACAUGCCAGUCUUUUCUUACUGUAGUAAGGUUCCCAUGGGAGGGACGACAGCAGGACUGGUCCUGCAAAGCUCUGAAUACCUUUGCUACAUCGUGAUUAGAUGUCAUACUGGAAGGGAGAAGCAGAUCGGUCGCGCCUCCCUCCGCCUUCCUCUGCACCUCCAAGCCUGGUGCUGCCAGCUCGCCUGGGAUUAUUAACAAUCGCUACCCAGUCCUGUGGGCCGCUGGAGGAUGGACCUGGCUCUCCCAUGGUCCUCCAAGGAAGGAAUGCGGAGAGCGGCCACAUGCUCUUUGCAGCUUCUCUGAGGCUACUGCAGCAUCCCUGCCCCGCCCGUCAGCCCAUACAACAGAGCUUCACUGCAGCUUCGGAACCCUGUUCUCUUUCUUCCUCACUUCCUCGUUGCCAUGGAGACACACGUCAUUUACGUGCCGUGCGUCGCCUUGGAAACGGGGGAGCAUCCGCGGCGCCGCCGGGAGACCCGCCCCUGCCUCUCCAGCCGCACUCGCGGGCACUGCUGGUGGAUGGCUGGGGGGAGUCCCGAGACUGACGCGCUGCGGGUCCCCGUCUCGACCCCGAGCCCUCUGCGAGCGCCUCUGUGACCUGUGAGCACUCUUUGUCGGUGAUUGCCGGGAGGGCGGCGGGACAUAGGUACCACACUGGAGGCGAGCGGGCAAGCCACUUUUGCCCCCUGGGUAAGCCCGAAGAUCCUGGUCCCGGGACCCUAGACGGGUCUUCGUUCCAUCGACUCUUCUCAGCCCUCCUUGAUCCCGCCCGUGUCCUCUGCCUGGGGCCGCUCUCUUCACGUAGGCUCCCCGCCCCUCUAGGGAGCCUAGGUGUCCCUGGGCUCCACCCCGUCCCUCCCGGGACCUCUCCCCCUCCACACCCUUCCCCCACCCUGGAGGCCCGGCUGGACACGACCCAGAGCUGCCA
rnacentral:lncRNA from 1 species